UUGGAGGGCAAGUCUGGUGCCAGCAGCCGCGGUAAUUCCAGCUCCAAUAGCGUAUAUUAAAGUUGUUGUGGUUAAAAAGCUCGUAGUUGAACCUUGGGCCUGGCUGGCCGGUCCGCCUCACCGCGUGUACUGGUCCGGCCGGGUCUUUCCCUCUGUGGAACCCCAUGCCCUUCACUGGGUGUGGCGGGGAAACAGGACUUUUACUUGAAAAAUUAGAGUGCUCCAGGCAGGCCUAUGCUCGAAUACAUUAGCAUGGAAUAAUAGAAUAGGACGUGCGG
rnacentral:rRNA from 1 species